AUGUUUCGAUGCAAUUCUCAGAUCCGCCAUGACUUUCAUCAGCUCCGUUUCAUCUCUGACCUAUUUCCGCUCAACCUUCGUGAAUCAUUAAGGACAAAGCCAGCAUCUUCGUAUUUGUUCAACCUCUCUCUUUGUGCAAUUCGCCUUCUCCGAUGCAACUACGAGGAGGCCUCGUCCCACUUAUACAGAAACCGACUGGAGCAAUGUCGUUGA